AUGAACGCUGGCGGCGUGCUUAACACAUGCAAGUCGAACGAAGCACUUUAUUUGAUUUCCUUCGGGACUGAUUAUUUUGUGACUGAGUGGCGGACGGGUGAGUAACGCGUGGGUAACCUGCCUUGUACAGGGGGAUAACAGUUGGAAACGGCUGCUAAUACCGCAUAAGCGCACGGCAUCGCAUGAUGCAGUGUGAAAAACUCCGGUGGUAUAAGAUGGACCCGCGUUGGAUUAGCUAGUUGGUGAGGUAACGGCCCACCAAGGCGACGAUCCAUAGCCGACCUGAGAGGGUGACCGGCCACAUUGGGACUGAGACACGGCCCAAACUCCUACGGGAGGCAGCAGUGGGGAAUAUUGCACAAUGGGCGAAAGCCUGAUGCAGCGACGCCGCGUGAGCGAAGAAGUAUUUCGGUAUGUAAAGCUCUAUCAGCAGGGAAGAUAAUGACGGUACCUGACUAAGAAGCACCGGCUAAAUACGUGCCAGCAGCCGCGGUAAUACGUAUGGUGCAAGCGUUAUCCGGAUUUACUGGGUGUAAAGGGAGCGCAGGCGGUGCGGCAAGUCUGAUGUGAAAGCCCGGGGCUCAACCCCGGUACUGCAUUGGAAACUGUCGUACUAGAGUGUCGGAGGGGUAAGCGGAAUUCCUAGUGUAGCGGUGAAAUGCGUAGAUAUUAGGAGGAACACCGGUGGCGAAGGCGACUUUCUGGACAAUAACUGACGUUGAGGCACGAAAGUGUGGGGAGCAAACAGGAUUAGAUACCCUGGUAGUCCACACCGUAAACGAUGGAUACUAGGUGUAGGAAAUGAUUUCAUUUUCUGUGCCGUCGCAAACGCAAUAAGUAUCCCACCUGGGGAGUACGGCCGCAAGGUUGAAACUCAAAGGAAUUGACGGGGGCCCGCACAAGCAGUGGAGUAUGUGGUUUAAUUCGAAGCAACGCGAAGAACCUUACCAGGGCUUGACAUAUACAGGAAUACUUAAGAAAUUAGGUAGUCUUUCGAGACUUGUAUACAGGUGGUGCAUGGUUGUCGUCAGCUCGUGUCGUGAGAUGUUGGGUUAAGUCCCGCAACGAGCGCAACCCCUAUUUCUAGUUGCCAGCACGUAAAGGUGGGAACUCUAGAGAGACUGCCGAUGAUGAAUCGGAGGAAGGUGGGGACGACGUCAAAUCAUCAUGCCCUUUAUGUCCUGGGCUACACACGUACUACAAUGGCCGUAACAGAGAGAAACGAAACAGCGAUGUGGAGUAAAACUUAAAAAAGCGGUCUCAGUUCGGAUUGAAGGCUGAAAUUCGCCUACAUGAAGUUGGAAUUGCUAGUAAUGGCAGGUCAGCAUACUGCCGUGAAUACGUUCCCGGGCCUUGUACACACCGCCCGUCACACCAUGAGAGUUGGAGAUACCCGAAGCCUGUGAGCUAACUUUUAGAGGCAGCAGUCGAAGGUAGAGCCAAUGAUUGGGGUG
rnacentral:rRNA from 1 species